GGCCUCGUUGCUCAGUUGGCCAGAGCGUGGCUAUACUAAAGCCUUCCUCUUGCUGGCGUGGGUUCGAAUCCCUCCAAAGCAG
rnacentral:tRNA from 1 species